CUGAUUUUUCAGGCUUGCUCAAUGACUCUUAGCUUUGACCCAAAGGGAUCUCAGUGCUGUUAGGCUUCCUCUGUAUAACAUUGUCUCACCUAAAGGGGCCUCAAGUGAUUCAAAACUAGUUCUAGUAGGUCCAGUCAUUCUGUUUGCAAAGGCAAGCUUCCCAUCAAAAAGCUUGUUUCGUGCCUUGGUUCUUCCUCUCCCUCUGGCUGGUGCUCACAGGCUCUGAGAGACGGAAGGGUUCUGAUGAGCCACACACACCAACACCUAGUGUGAUGCACCGCUAUCAGACAAACAGGCCACGUACCAGGAAACUGGACCAGCCUAAGGACGGCCCUGGCUCCAGCAAGGAUCCUUGGUCCAGACAGGUUCUAGGACAGAACUUUUAGGAUUAUAAGACAAAGCGUGACUGUUUGGUCGAUUUUUGGUUUUGCCUAAAGAACAGUUUCAAGAGGUUUUUCUCAGAAGAGAGCAGUGUGGUGAGGAUUCCCGCACAAUGUCAGUUACUCCCUGACUGUAGUGUGGAAUGUGCCUUAGACAAAGAAAGUAAAUUGCUUGCGAAACUCCCAGGAUCUCAUGGCCUAAAAAAUAGACGGACUACCCUGUAAAUCCAAGCACAGGCACAUUGGGAAGGGACAAACUAGGGUACAAAGAUAAUGGGCUUUGAAUUAGUUCAUCUCCAGGGAAAAUCUGGAUGAGAAUACUUCUAAAUCUAUAAUUUUGGCCCAUUACUUUAUUGCAUCCCUCAGAAGACUGUUGGGCAAUAAUGCAUUAGAGAGUUUAGCACAGUGAUGCAAAAACUGUAAGUGCUCAACAUAUUUUAGUUCCAUUUCUUCCCUCCAUACCUGACACACAUUGUAAAGUGUGCAUGAAGAGCACAGCAUUUGUCCUCAAAGCCUGUAUGUCGCUUAGCAGAGGAGCUACAAGCAUGAACAGUUACCUACAGUGUGUCCAUACCUAUGUAAACUAGAUUAUUUUCCUCCACAAUUCCAAGUUUAAAAAAAUUGCUUUUGAAUGUAUUUGAAUAUAUUUAAUUUUUGUCUUCUUUCCUUUUCCCUUUCUGCGAUUUAUAACUAACAGACUGAAACGGGAGAGUAGAGAGCAUGUGAGAGUCACUGAGCCAAAAACCGGAGAGUUAAAGUCAGUUAACUUCUGUUGCACUGGUGCAGAAAAAUAGACUGGCUCUGAGGUUGAAGAAAUAGUCUCUGUGAGUUUCCAACAACCACGCCUGUCUUACGUCCAAAGCUGCAUUCAUUUCCCACCCUGUACUCCGCUCUUAUACUCUGUUGGAUUGAUUGGGUAGACUCCAACUCUCCUCGACAAUUUUGCAAAAACUGGCCCCAGUUAUAAUUAUUUAAAGGAAUCUUUUUCCCAUGAAAAUAUUUUCUUCACUUUUUCUGAACUGUCCUGACAUUUCCAAGAUCCUACUGUCAUACAUCUGGAAAACUAUAAUAGGAGCUGUAGUCUGGAAGACAAAGAGCCUUUGGUACCGCAAGCCCUAUCAUUGGUGAGUUUGGCGCAGUGAAGGCCUAGAGAUUCAUGACCUAGGCCCUGUGAAGUCAAGUCUUUUUACCAAGCAAAAAGAUUGGCAAUAAAAUAUUUUCACAUAGUACAUGACAGAAUACUUGUACCCAUCUUAUUUUAUUGGACAUUAAUUGCACUUAUUAAGGCACAUGUACCUUUAAAAAAAUUAAGGAAGAAAAUACUCAGAGAAAGGACUGGUGUGCGGCUGAGGAAGAAAAAUGUGUACUGCAUUCUUUAGAUGAAGCAGAAGUCGAUCAGCAACUUAAAGUCGCAAUCUAUUCAAUCUUUCAACAUUGCAAAUUAAUUCUCAUUUGGCUUGAUUGUUUGCAUUGAAAUGUAACUUCUGUGUUGGUUCUUAGAAAUUAAAAAAUAUAGAGAUUAGAAAUUUGGUUGAUGAAAACCUACAGGAACAAAAAGCAUGCAGCCUCGGCCUGAAAUGUAGAAUGGACAAAUAAAAUGUUUACAGUGCAAUAUUUUAAUGAAUAAUCCAUAGCAACAGUUGAAAUAAAGUGAUGCAUUAGACUAUAUUUGCUACAACAUAAAAUGAAACUUCGUAACAAGAUUAUGAAAGUGAUUUUUAUUAUUUUGGUAAUGGUGUCCCAGUAUAAGUAAUGAGAUACAAUUUUUUUUUAAAUUUGGUAUAUCAAACAGUAAAAGCUAUAUAUAAAUGUUGUUUCCCCAGAAUAUAUUUUGGUUACAACUAUGCAUCAUAGCUAUUAUGCACAUACUAAAAGCAUUCAUGAUAAAGUACAAAAAUAAGAAAAGAUUAAAUAAGAAGGUAUCCUUGAGUUAUAAAUGUCUACUAAAGUAUACCUUUUAAUCACACAGUUGUGUCGCAGCUAAAAACACACAAAUUAACACAUACUGCUAUGCAACUAUUUGAUCUAAUAUAGAUCUACUAGAAAAAUAUUAAGGCUGUAGUAACACUUCACAGGUAAAGGCUAAGUUCUGGGACAUGAAAGCUUUUAGAAAAUUCACAAAACAAACCUGAGACAUCUUUUUGUUUUGGAAAAAAGCAAUUUUCUUACAGAGUCAAAGCUUU